AGGAUAGAGGCCUACCAUGGUGGUAACGGGUAACGGGGAAUUAGGGUUCGAUUCCGGAGAGGGAGCCUGAGAAACGGCUACCACAUCCAAGGAAGGCAGCAGGCGCGCAAAUUACCCAAUCCCGACACGGGGAGGUAGUGACAAUAAAUAACAAUACGGGGCUCUUUAGGGUCUCGUAAUUGGAAUGAGUACAAUUUAAAUCCCUUAACGAGGAACAAUUGGAGGGCAAGUCUGGUGCCAGCAGCCGCGGUAAUUCCAGCUCCAAUAGCGUAUAUUAAAGUUGUUGCAGUUAAAAAGCCCGUAGUUGAAUUUCGGGAUUGGCGUAUCGGUCGUGCCUCACGGGGUAUGAACUGGUGCAGUCAAUUUCUCACCUUCUGGAGAACCGCGAUGUCCUUAAUUGGAUGCCGCGGGGAACCAGGACCUUUACUUUGAAAAAAUUAGAGUGUUUAAAGCAGGCAUUUUUGCUUGAAUACAUUAGCAUGGAAUAAUAAAAUAGGACGGCAUGGUUCUAUUUUGUUGGUUUCUAGGACCACCGUAAUGAUUAAUAGGGAUAGUUGGGGGCAUUAGUAUUCAAUUGUCAGAGGUGAAAUUCUUGGAUUUAUUGAAGACUAACUACUGCGAAAGCAUUUGCCAAGGAUGUUUUCAUUAAUCAAGAACGAAAGUUAGGGGAUCGAAGACGAUCAGAUACCGUCGUAGUCUUAACCAUAAACUAUGCCGACUAGGAAUCAGACGAUGUUAAUUUUUUAAUGACUCGUUUGGCACCUUACGGGAAACCAAAGUGUUUGGGUUC
rnacentral:rRNA from 1 species